UAGGCUCUGCAGACCCAGAUGAGAUGAUUGAACGAGAAGUUCGGGGAGUAUGGAGUACUAUUCUGGGUGGUUUAAAAAAAUUUGCAAAAGGUGGUCUUGAUGCUAUAGUGAAUCCAAAACGAGAAGCAAUAAGGCCCGUCCCUUUUUUCCCGCCUGUUCAUGCCAAGAAAGUGUUUCCAUUACAUUGAAAACGCAGUGCUGAUAAAUAAAGAUUUUCCAGGUGGGUUGGUUGAAUGCACUUUGGACAUCUCAGGCCAUCUCUCCCUAAACCUGUAAAGAUAAACAACAAAUGCUGAAAAAUAAAAUGAUAUGUAGAUAACAUUUGUCAAACUUUAUUGCUCCUUACAAUGUAGAGUGCACCUAUUUUGCAAUAUAUGUAUCUAGGUCUAGGACUUUUUCAUAAAGGUACAGUUAAGAGAUCUAUUAUCUGGGGCCAUUUCCCACAGAGUCCUUUUUAAGCAAACAAUAGUUAUUUUUUUGACUGAGUUCUUUUCUCUGUAAUAAUAAAAUAAUAGGAAUAAACUAAUCCUCUCUCAAUCUCUGACAUGCAUUGAAGGAGAGCAGCUUCAUGAGCAAUGUCACAUUCGGGGCAGGACAAAGUUACUAAUGUUACUAAUAUAAAUAUAUGCUAAUAUGGUAAGAUUGUUUAAUAGGUCACUUCAGAAGGUAAUGUUUUCCUUUAAGCAAUAGUAUUGCAAAGUAUGGAAAACCCAUAAUCCAGAAAGUACCCACACAAGUCUCAUUUUAUACCAUCCCUUAGUCUUAUAUAAGAUAAGAUUUAUGGGGGUAAUGUAAUAAAAGGUGCAAAGUUUGCUACAGGUCUAAUCAUCUAUAGCAACUAUCUGCAGGAAUAAUUUUAUAGGUCCGCUGUUUGAAAUAAACAGCUUAUUUUUUGGUUGCUAUGGCGUAAUGCCCCUGAGCAAAUUUAGUGCUUUUAUUACGUUGGGGGUAUAGCCUGGUUUAACUGCACUGUUAAUAAAUAUGUUAUAUUUUUUGACACUUUUUGGUUAAGUAUUAGAAUCCCCAAGGAUUAGUGAUGGGCGAAAUCAUUUGCCAGGCAUGGAUUCGCGGUGAAUUUCCACAUUUUUUUCGGGAAACAGAUGACAAAAUUCGCCACACAUUAAAAAAUUGAUUUAUCCCACACCACCAAAGCUGCACAGGAGGGGACACUUACAAAACCAACACCUGCAAGUAUUCCUACUUCUAUCCCAGCAAAUUUAUCCAACAGUGACAGUGAGGAAGUGAGACCUGGCCACAUUAGCAGCCCAUAUUUGUCUGAUAUUGAGGGCACAGAUAAGGAUUAUCAGCUAGAGGAAGCCAGUGAAGUGGAAAAUGAGGAACUUCCCCCCCCCCCCCUCACCCAAACCAAGCAAGAAAAAAAAGCAGGACAGCAGGCUCAGAAAUCUGAAAUUUUCUGAAUUUGAAAACUUUUGCCUGUGUUUGACCAAAUAAUUGGCAAAUAUGCAUCCAAAACAGCUACAGCUGUUAAAAACAGAGCAUGGAACGACAUAGAUGACCAUGUGAACAGUGUCAGGGUCUGUCUGAGAAGGGUCCAACAUUGUAAAAAAAGAUAUCAGGAUAUCAAAAGGGUCCUGAAGAGAAAAGUUGCGGAAGACUCCAGAUAUAGUCUGGAACUGGAGGAGGUCCAGCAAAAAAGGUGCACUAUACCACCUACGAGGAGCAGCUUCUGCCAUUCAUCCAUGGAGACAGCGUCACUUAGAAA